UGGAUCCAGACUUUGAUUAUGGCUCAGGAUGAACGCUAGCUACAGGCCUAACACAUGCAAGUCGAGGGGAAACGGCAGCUUAGCUUGCUAAGCUGGACGUCGACCGGCGCACGGGUGAGUAACGCGUAUCCAACCUGCCCUACGGUGAGGGAUAACCCGCGGAAACGCGGCCUAAUACCUCAUGGUCUCCGAGCUUGACAUCAACCUUGGAGUAAAGAUUCAUUGCCGUGGGAUGGGGAUGCGUCUGAUUAGCUUGUUGGCGGGGCAACGGCCCACCAAGGCAACGAUCAGUAGGGGUUCUGAGAGGAAAGCCCCCCACAUUGGAACUGAGACACGGUCCAAACUCCUACGGGAGGCAGCAGUGAGGAAUAUUGGUCAAUGGGCGAGAGCCUGAACCAGCCAAGUAGCGUGCAGGAAGACGGCCCUAUGGGUUGUAAACUGCUUUUAUGCGGGGAUAAAGCGGGCGACGUGUCGCCCUUUGCAGGUACCGCAUGAAUAAGGACCGGCUAAUUCCGUGCCAGCAGCCGCGGUAAUACGGAAGGUCCGGGCGUUGUCCGGAUUUAUUGGGUUUAAAGGGAGCCCAGGCCGGGUAUUAAGCGUGUUGUGAAAUGUAGGCGCCCAACGUCUGCACCGCAGCGCGAACUGGUGCCCUUGAGUACGCACGACGUUGGCGGAAUUCGCCGUGUAGCGGUGAAAUGCUUAGAUAUGGCGAAGAACUCCGAUUGCGAAGGCAGCUGACGGUAGCGCUACUGACGCUCAUGCUCGAGAGCGCGGGUAUCGAACAGGAUUAGAUACCCUGGUAGUCCGCGCGGUAAACGAUGGAUGCCCGCUACUUGCGCAUUAGCGCAAGUGGCCAAGUGAAAACGUUAAGCAUCCCACCUGGGGAGUACGCCGGCAACGGUGCAACUCAAAUGAAUUGACGGA
rnacentral:rRNA from 1 species